rnacentral:misc_RNA from 1 species
AAUCAUCAAAAACCUUUUUCUGUUUACAGAAAAGGAUUUUUUGGACUUGGAGGUUUAAUGCUUGCCUUUCACUUUCGAAAGUCGAGCUCCUCUCAAAUGAAUUAGUGGGGUCCGCUUUGCUGGUCCUUGACGUGAUAAGAUGUUUCUACGUUUUGGAUUUGGCACUGUCCCUUUGGAUUCCUGCUCCUAACCGUCUCACGGACAAAUGAUGGUGCUCCGGUCGCCGCCGCCUCAUUGGCGGGGGAGGGCUGGACCCACGGAAGAAAA